AACGAACGCUGGCGGCAGGCUUAACACAUGCAAGUCGAGCUCAUCCUUCGGGGUGAGCGGCAGACGGGUGAGUAACACGUGGGAAUCUACCCAACCCUACAGAAUAGCUCCGGGAAACUGGAAUUAAUACCGUAUACGCCCUUAGGGGGAAAGAUUUAUCGGGGAUGGAUGAGCCCGCGUUGGAUUAGCUAGUUGGUGGGGUAAAGGCCUACCAAGGUGACGAUCCAUAGCUGGUCUGAGAGGAUGAUCAGCCACAUUGGGACUGAGACACGGCCCAAACUCCUACGGGAGGCAGCAGUGGGGAAUAUUGGACAAUGGGCGCAAGCCUGAUCCAGCCAUGCCGCGUGAGUGAUGAAGGCCUUAGGGUUGUAAAGCUCUUUCACCGGAGAAGAUAAUGACGGUAUCCGGAGAAGAAGCCCCGGCUAACUUCGUGCCAGCCGCCGCUAACA
rnacentral:rRNA from 1 species